GUGUGUCUUCAGUGGGUUUAUGUGUUUGUAUUCAUGGGGGGGGUUCUGUGGGUUUUUUAUUUGUGUGUGUGGUUUUUCUGUGCUUUUAUAGUUGUUCUUGAGUGGUGUGUGUGGGUUUCUGUGUGGUGUGCUGGAGGUGUGGGGUUUUUUUCCUGUUUAAAAUGCCACAAUAUUCCUGAAGCACUCCUUUUGUGGCCUAACCUUGUCUUUCCUACAUCUGUAACAAAAAACUCUGUCCUUUUACUGGAUUCGUUUUUACUUACUGUGCAAGACUGUAUUUUAGGAUUUUAAAAUUAAUAUUUUGUUCUCUUCGACCAUGUUGGGAGGAAGAAGGGAUGGAAUGAAAGCAACUGAAGAGACACUUUUAUUUUGGAUGAUUCUGAGGCAACACUGAAUUUAUAUCAUAUGUAUUUAUUUCUGACAGAUAUCCAGCUUAGCUCAGCUGCUCAGAUGAGCUUUUUCUUAGGAAGUUCGGUAAACCAGUGAAGAAUAUAUCCACGACUGGAAGAUCAAAUCCUAAGAAUAUCACUUUUCUCUAAUUUUCUGUGCUGUUUUCCCUGUUUGCAGUUGAUUGCCAAGGCUGAGAGGAUGAGACUGGAGAAGACUAAGCAGACAAGCAAACACAUUCACUUCACUGAUGGCAACUAACCAGGACUGAUGAUCUUCCAGUGUGAACUGCAGAAGAAUCUUCGGUGGAAGAAAUAAUAUCUUUGUUUGAUACCUGUGGUUGCUCUAGCUCCAGAAGUAGUUCUCAUUUGCAGAUAAGUGUUAAAAGUCGGGUAGUUCACAGGUUAAGAAGGUGAUUUUAAUGGCUUUCAAGUAUUUCAUGGGAGACUGGCAAUAUUUUAAAAAUCCCUGAAGGUAGAACUGGAAUUCUACACGAGGCUGCACUUGUGAGUGACUCAGCCCUGCUGGCAGGGAGGGAGUGAAUGGAGAGGAUUAGCACGACUCAAUGGAGAGGGAACAGCAGCGAUCAGGCUGGAGAUAGCAGGAAUCCAGGGGGGAAAAGUGCAAGAUAAGGGACGAACAAAAGGGCUGGAAGGGCUGGAGGGGAAGAGCUUGCUGAUGGUUCUUGGAAUUGGUGUGUGGGGGAUUCCUCCCAGGGGAAAGGUGGGGGAAGGCUAAGAACUAACCCAGGCACUGCCCUGUGGACUCCUGCAAUAUUCAAGUGUUUAGUCCAAUCGCAGCAUUUUUUAUUUAUUAUUAUUAUUUAAUCUUGAACUCCUCCCAUCCUAGGUGGGUAAGAUAUUUGAUGACACAUAAAAAGUCAUUUUCAUACCUACCUAUGAAAAGAAUUGAUCCAUUAAUGUUUUUUUCUCAUUAUCCUGCUAAAAGACAGUUUGUUUUCUUUUUCCACUUCUGUGAAGGGGAAAAAAUUAAACCCAAAAACUUGCUCUGGGUAAAAUGUUUGGGAUUUUGCUGCUGAAGUUCAUUUGAGUCAAAAAUAUAUCCGUGUUAUAAAUAAUUCAGUUCAUAAAUGAUUCAGACUUUUUAUGUGUGGUGGAGAGUGGAACUGAACUGCAAAAGCCCAAGUCUGGGAGUUAUUGGUCUUGUAUUAAUAUUUUCUGACUUUAACACACAGAAGUCACCCUUUCUGUCCCUUUCCAUAUUUAUGCAGGAUAAUUCCUUACACUUCAACAUGAGUUUUCUUUUUCUCCUUUUCCAAACUAGUGCAGCAAUCUGCUUCAGCAGGGAAGGACAGUCGGUGUUUAUCACUUCCUGAAGAAGUUCAUAACAGCAUUUUUGCUCUUAAUUCAUAAAUCAGGAACGGAGAGGAUGGUCUAGAUGCUUUUACAAAACCUUGGAUUCUCAAGGAUGCCAGAAUGAGGGAAGGCUGCUGGAUGGCAGACAGUGUGUCCUGCUGCGUGGGCAGAUGUUAAUCAACCUGUCUCACCACGGUGGUUCUGACACGGGCCAUCACCACCUUUCCAAAUCUCCGUGGCUGCCUCAUCCAGAGAGGUCCUGACCCAGGUUCAAGGGGUUAAUUUUGAAAACAAUUUUUUUUUCCUCGUGUCUCAGGACUGUCUGGUUUUAGCCGUGAUGGGGAUCAGAAGUGACAAGGUACCGCAGGGGAGCUGUUCUCCUGGGUUUGCAUCAUGCCUGAAGCCAGACCAGGAACGUCCUGAGAGGGACUGAUCUGCCAAACCCAUCAGACAACAUCACUUUG